rnacentral:rRNA from 1 species
CGUUGGCCGCGUGCAUUAGGCAUGCAAGUCUAACGGAUCCGGCCUUCGGGCCGGGUCAGUGGCGCAAGGGUGAGUAAGGCGACGGUAACCAACCCCAGAAUUGGGUAUAGCCGCGGGAAACUGCGGGUAAUCCCCAGCGACGCAUCGGGCCGGCAUCGGCCUGAUGUCAAAGUUACGGCGUUCUGGGACGGGCUGUCGUGGUAUUAGGUAGUUGGCGGGGUAAUGGCCCACCAAGCCUUCGAUGCCUACCGGGCGUGCGAGCGUGGCCCGGCACACUGGGACUGAGACACUGCCCAGACACCUACGGGUGGCUGCAGUCGAGAAUCUUCGGCAAUGGGCGCAAGCCUGACCGAGCGACGCCGCGUGGAGGAUGAAGGCCUUCGGGUUGUAAACUCCUGUCGAGGGGGAGGAAGGGGCAACCUUGACCUAUCCCUGGAGGAAGCACGGGCUAAGUUCGUGCCAGCAGCCGCGGUAAGACGAACCGUGCGAACGUUAUUCGGAAUCAUUGGGCUUAAAGCGCGUGUAGGCGGAUGGGAACGUCGGCUUUGAAAGCCCCCGGCUCAACCGGGGAAUUGGCGCCGAAACGACCCGUCUCGAGGGGCAUAGGGGGAGCUGGAACUUCCGGUGGAGCGGUGAAAUGCGUUGAGAUCGGAAGGAACGCCCGUGGCGAAAGCGAGCUCCUGACUGUCUUCUGACGCUGAGACGCGAAAGCUAGGGUAGCGAACGGGAUUAGAUACCCCGGUAGUCCUAGCCGUAAACGAUGGGCACUGGGUAGGGGGCUCGCCGAUGGGCUCCCUGCCGUAGGGAAACCGUGAAGUGCCCCGCCUGGGGAGUAUGGUC